AAAGACCUUGCCUCGGGCCUAAGCCUUAGUCAUAGCCACAUCCUGGCACAUGAAUGAAGUCUCCAGGACAGGCUUCCAUGAAGGAUGACAAGUGGGUUCAUCUGCAGCCCUAAAUCAAUACUGAAUGGUUUGGGAAAGGGACUGGUGAGAAGAGGCUGAAGGAUUCUCCCAUCAGCCUGAGUAACAGAAACUGCAAGCUUCAGUUGAAAGACAGAGUUGAAAGUGAGGAAACAGACCGGAAGACUCAGAGGUCUGUACCCAUGUGUCUCUGAAUGCCCUUGUGACUGCACAGAAGGGCUGCUGAAGGAAUGUGACCUGUGCAUACACUGGCUUGUUGUCCCCUGCCUCGGGAUGUUUCUGGAGCAUCUGCUCUGUCAGCUGCUGUGGUACUAGCAGAACUGGACAGCAUGAGAUGAGAACUGAGGAAAACUCAGAAGAAAAGGGAUUCCAAGUCAUUGGCAAGUCAUUCCAAGGACUGGAGAGAUGACUCAGAUGGUUAAGAGUACUGUUGCUCUUGAAGUGGACCAGGGUUGGGUUCCCAGCACCCACGUGGUGGUUCACAGCCAUUCAGAACUUCAGUUCCAGGGGUUCUGAUGACUUCUUCUGACUUCCAUGGGCUCCAGGCACGUACAUGGUACACAUAUGUUCAUGCAGGAAAAACACUCAUGCACUUAAACUUGAAAACAAUAAUAAAAUAACCAAGACUUUCCAGCUGAUGGUUCCUCUACCUAGAAACGGCCAACCUUCAUUUCUUUCUCCAGCAAGGAGGACUUCACAACAGCUUAAGAACAAGGUGGGGAGGGAUCAGUAGCCAUAGUUUGAAAAACUACCCCCUCAAACACACACCUUUGUGCCAGAUAGAUUCACUACACAAGCAUUUACAAAUGUGACUCUGCCUUGGGCAUCAAGAAAUGGGCACAACAGCAUCCCCAGGUGUCACUGAAGUUCUCCCAAAUCCUGCACCCCCUGAGUAGCAUGGGUGUGGUUUGUCCCCAGCUUUGAAAUGUGAAUGAAAGUCUAUUCAUUCCAGAUAGGGUAUCCAUGACAGACCAGAGAAAUAAUUCUAUCCAAGUCUAGUUUGGAAAACCAGUGUAUUUAUUGGGGCUACUAAUAGGAGCAUGGAAGCACAGCACUAUCACUAGAAAGCCCACUCACAAAUGGAUAACAACUCAGGAAAAUGGUAUCACUGGGGCUCCCCUGCACAGCUUGCUGUCAGAAGAAUUCCUGAGCCCCAGCUUUUACAAGCUUGAGAAGGGGCCUUGUGAAUCUUGUAACUUUCAUGAGCUUUCUGAGCCUUCUAAGUUUUAUGAGCUUCUGGAGUCUUAUUGAACGUCUCUCUUCCCUCCUGGAGAGAAUGUUUCUAUUCAGAGGAAACAGCCACACAAGAAGAGGAAACAAUUCACCAUUUUGGGAAAUAGCCUGGAUAACCUGAUCAAACGCUCUUUAAACUGAAGUCUGCAGCCUAUAGACUGCCCUCUUGUAAUCCCUGGCCCUGGAUAGCCAUAUCCUCCCCACCCCUCCCUUUCCUCUGAAGUGUAGGCUGGAUUUGCCAUCUUGCUUUUUACAAAUAGAACACAGUAGGACAGACAGGAUAUCCCUCCCAGGACUGAGUAAUGAAAAAACCAGCUGUGCUGGGCACUCAUUGUCUCUCUUGCUCUUUUGGCAUUGCUCCCUGAAGGAAGCUAGGUGUUGUGCUGUGAGGAAACCUGGUGAUGGACUGAGCUCAGCCUGCCACCAUGGAAGCCUUGCCAUCAGGCUGCAGUCCUUUCAAUGUCUUGACUACAACCUCAAAGAUAACCCAAGUCAGAGGCACAAACUAAGCUACACUGAUUUUUUUGUUUUGUUUUGUUUUUCGAGACAGGGUUUCUCUGUGGCUUUGGAGGCUGUCCUGGAACUAGCUCUUGUAGACCAGGCUGGUCUCGAACUCACCAAGAUCAUCUGCCUCUGCCUCCCGAGUGCUGGGAUUAAAGGUGUGCGCCACCACUGCCCGGCUUUUACACUGAUUCUUGACUGGUGGAAAUGUUAAGAAAAUGCCUGGUUUUAAGCUUAUGAAUUUGGGGAAUGUUUAUUAAUUGGCAUCAGAUAACUAAUAUAAGAUAUUUCUA